rnacentral:misc_RNA from 1 species
GCAAACUUGGUCAUUUAGAGGAAGUAAAAGUCGUAACAAGGUCUCCGUAGGUGAACCUGCGGAGGGAUCAUUACCGAGUGAGCCCCCUCGGGGGCGACCUCCAACCCUUUUGUGAUUGAACCUUUGUUGCCUCGGGGUGGCCUGGGCCUGCCCGGCCCCGGCGCCCCGGUGGACCAUUUAUCAACACUGCAUCUUUACGUCGGAUAAUAAAGUUUAAUUGAUGAAAACUUUCAACAACGGAUCUCUUGGUUCUGGCAUCGAUGAAGAACGCAGC